rnacentral:misc_RNA from 1 species
AGCAGCCGCGGUAAUUCCAGCUCCAAUAGCGUAUAUUAAAGUUGUUGCAGUUAAAAAGCUCGUAGUUGAAUUUCGGGGUUAGCAGGUCGGUCGUGCCAUCGGUAUGAACUGGUCUCGCUGAUCCCUCCCUCUUGACGAACUGUGAUGCCAUUAAUUUGGUGUCGCAGGGAAUCAGGACUGUUACUUUGAAAAAAUUAGAGUGUUUAAAGCAGGCUCACGCUUGAAUACAUUAGCAUGGAAUAAUGAAAUAGGACGUUUGAUUCUAUUUUGUUGGUUUCUAGGAUCGACGUAAUGAUUAAUAGGGAUAGUUGGGGGCAUUAGUAUUCAAUUGUCAGAGGUGAAAUUCUUGGAUUUAUUGAAGACUAACUACUGCGAAAGCAUUUGCCAAGGAUGUUUUCAUUAAUCAAGAACGAAAGUUAGGGGAUCGAAGACGAUCAGAUACCGUCGUAGUCUUAACCAUAAACUAUGCCGACUAGGGAUCGGAUGAUGUUAAUUUUUUAAUGACUCAUUCGGCGCCUUA